GAUGAACGCUGGCUACAGGCUUAACACAUGCAAGUCGAGGGGAAACGACGGGGAAGCUUGCUUCCCCGGGCGUCGACCGGCGCACGGGUGAGUAACGCGUAUCCAACCUGCCUCUGACUGAGGGAUAACCCGUCGAAAGUCGGCCUAAUACCUCAUGGCAUCGUCUGCGGGCAUCCAACGACGAUUAAAGAUUUCAUCGGUCAGGGAUGGGGAUGCGUCUGAUUAGCUUGUUGGCGGGGUAACGGCCCACCAAGGCUACGAUCAGUAGGGGUUCUGAGAGGAAGGUCCCCCACAUUGGAACUGAGACACGGUCCAAACUCCUACGGGAGGCAGCAGUGAGGAAUAUUGGUCAAUGGGCGGGAGCCUGAACCAGCCAAGUAGAGUGCAGGAUGACGGCCCUAUGGGUUGUAAACUGCUUUUAUGCGGGGAUAAAGUGAGGGACGUGUCCUUCAUUGCAGGUACCGCAUGAAUAAGGACCGGCUAAUUCCGUG
rnacentral:rRNA from 1 species